rnacentral:misc_RNA from 1 species
GAUGAAGAACGUAGCGAAAUGCGAUAAGUAAUGUGAAUUGCAGAAUUCAGUGAAUCAUCGAAUCUUUGAACGCACAUUGCGCCCGCCAGUAUUCUGGCGGGCAUGCCUGUUCGAGCGUCAUUACAACCCUCAGGCCCCCGGGCCUGGCGUUGGGGAUCGGCGGAAGCCCCCUGCGGGCACAACGCCGUCCCCCAAAUACAGUGGCGGUCCCGCCGCAGCUUCCAUUGCGUAGUAGCUAACACCUCGCAACUGGAGAGCGGCGCGGCCACGCCGUAAAACACCCAACUUCUGAAAUGUUGACCUCGGAUCAGGUAGGAAUACCCGCUGAACUUAAGCAUAUCAAUAAGCGGAGGA